UACGUAGGGGGCAAGUGUUGUCCGGAAUCAUUGGGCGUAAAGCGCGUGUAGGCGGUUCGGUAAGUCUGCUGUGAAAGUCCAGGGCUCAACCCUGGGAUGCCGGUGGAUACUGUCGGACUAGAGUACGGAAGAGGCGAGUGGAAUUCCCGGUGUAGCGGUGAAAUGCGCAGAUAUCGGGAGGAACACCAAUUGCGAAGGCAGCUCGCUGGGACGUCACUGACGCUGAGACGCGAAAGCGUGGGUAGCAAACAGG
rnacentral:rRNA from 1 species